rnacentral:rRNA from 1 species
GUGGGGAAUAUUGGACAAUGGGCGAAAGCCUGAUCCAGCCAUGCCGCGUGUGUGAAGAAGGUCUUCGGAUUGUAAAGCACUUUAAGUUGGGAGGAAGGGCAGUAAGCUAAUAUCUUGCUGUUUUGACGUUACCGACAGAAUAAGCACCGGCUAACUUCGUGCCAGCAGCCGCGGUAAUACGAAGGGUGCAAGCGUUAAUCGGAAUUACUGGGCGUAAAGCGCGCGUAGGUGGUUUGUUAAGUUGGAAGUGAAAGCCCCGGGCUCAACCUGGGAACUGCUUUCAAAACUGGCAAGCUAGAGUAUGGCAGAGGGUGGUGGAAUUUCCUGUGUAGCGGUGAAAUGCGUAGAUAUAGGAAGGAACACCAGUGGCGAAGGCGACCACCUGGGCUAAUACUGACACUGAGGUGCGAAAGCGUGGGGAGCAAACAGGAUUAGAAACCCGUGUAGUCC